rnacentral:rRNA from 1 species
AAUGGAGGAAACUCUGAUGCAGCAACGCCGCGUGGAGGACGAAGGUUUUCGGAUUGUAAACUCCUGUCUUUUGGGACGAUAAUGUCGGUACCAAAAGAGGAAGCCACGGCUAACUACGUGCCAGCAGCCGCGGUAAUACGUAGGUGGCGAGCGUUGUCCGGAAUUACUGGGCGUAAAGGGCGCGUAGGCGGCCUGUUAAGUCAGAUGUGAAACCCCCAGGCUCAACUUGGGGAUUGCAUAUGAUACUGGCAAGCUUGAGUCUCGUAGAGGGGGGUAGAAUUCCAGGUGUAGCGGUGAAAUGCGUAGAGAUCUGGAGGAAUACCGGUGGCGAAGGCGGCCCCCUGGACGAAGACUGACGCUCAGGUGCGAAAGCGUGGGGAGCAAA